GGUGGGAGGUCCUAGAAAAUGCCUUAGCCAAGAGAGAGAGAGAGAAAGGAAUCGAGCGGCGGCGGCGAGUUGAGCCAAAAAGUUCGUUGAGCCGCCGACGGAAGGGGAGGCCAGAUCUACCCAAAAUGUUCGUUGAGCCGCUGGCGGAAGGGGAGGCCAGAUCUACCCAAAAUGUUCGUUGAGCCGCCGGCGGAAGGAGAGGCUAGAUCUACCCAAAAUGUUCGUUGAGCCGGCGGCGGAAGGGGAUGCCACAACAGAGUGUUGUGGUGUUGCUGAGUGUUGUGUCUUGUUGUGUGGUGUUGGUGAGGGAGUGUCAGCCGAUGAAGAGAGAUGAGAGUCGGGAGUCAGGGCGGCGACGGCGGUGGCUAUGAGCUGCUGCUGGUUGUCCGGCGUUUAGAGAGAAGAUAGGCGGUGGGAGUGCGUCCUUUUCAGAGUCGAACAAGAGAGAGAGCUCAGGAUGUCACCGGAAUUGUAGAGGGAGGCGCCGCCGCCCCAUGCUGCGUCUGUGUGUGUGUUCUGUUUUGGGUGAAGCGGCGUCGAACUCGAGAUUCUGGGUGGUUGUGGCGGCGGUGGAGGAAGUGAGAGAGAGGGUGAGAGUCGAUAGGGGAGAGAGGGAAAGGGGAUGGGGGAGGAGAGAGAGAGAGGGUGACGUGGGAGAGAAGGGUGACGUGGGGUGUGAUUUGGCUUUUCUGAUGCCACAUUGGUAUUCCGGCUGCCAACUUAGAUUUAAUUUGGCCGGAAAAUUACUCCGGAAGUCAAUUGCAACAAAUUAAAAGGUAGUUGAAGUGUUGGCUACAAUUGAAAAGAUUAUUAAAAAAUCAUAUUUUGGUAUAAAGUGGGUUAUUUUCAUGCAAUUUGCCCUAUAUUUUAAAAGCUUAUAAGAUGCAAUAUUUUAUGAGCUUAUCAGUUAUUAAAAUAAUUGAAUAAUUAAGCUUAUAAGCUAAUGAGAAAAUUAUGAAUUAAAGAGAAAAAAAACAUAGUUAAAUAGAUAGAAUUGGAGUUGGAGGGAAAUG
rnacentral:lncRNA from 1 species